AAGUCAUCGCUAUUCUCUUAGAAGCGCCUAUCAAUAGCUUUAAAUUGAAAUAUUAAACAUUUCCCUUCAUAAAUUUGUUCAUUUGUCACCAUUUUGGAGCGACUUAACGGAAAGGACGCUGAAGGUUUAACGGGCAAAAAGAGCACGGCGACGUCAUCUUGGUCGUCUGGACACGAGAUAAUCUUGACACAAAACAAACAUGGCGGGGUCAGCGGGGGUCCGGCGGUCGCUCGCCCUGCUCAACUAGCCGCGCUCCCGGGGACAGCGGACGCUUGGGCUGGGCUCGGAACAUCGAGUCCCGCACUGCCGGCGACCUUGACGACUCCGUCAUGGAUCUGACGCGGUUGGCCGUGGACGCUGGCCAGUUUAUCAACCGGGCUGUCCAGUACACGGGGGAGAGUCUCGGCCAGGCGGACAAGACCGACCUGGACCCCGACCUGGAGGAGCUCCUGACCCAGGUGGACGCCACCAAGACCUGGACGGACCUCAUCGUCUCGCAGACGGAGUCCAUGUUGCAGCCCAGCACGGCGGCCCGGCUGGAGGAGCGACUGUACGAGCGUUUGGACUGGCCACCCCCCGCUCGACCUCGCGCUCAAGAGGUCCUGGGAGACCAGAUGGUUCAGGCCGGGCUGGAGAUGGGAACCAACAGCCCGUAUGGGGCAUCGCUUCUGAGGUGCGGCGAGGCUCAGAAGCAGCUCGGUCAGGCCCAGACGAAGUUCUCCCAAAGCGCCAACAUCCAUUUCCUCAACCCUCUUCGGCGCUUCGGCGAGUGUGAAUACAGAACUAUGCAGGACGAGCGCAGGAUGUUGCUGAACAAGCGUUUGGACUUGGACGUAGCCAAGGGCAGACUGAAGAGAGCUCACGAGGCCGAACGAGAGUCCAGGAAUCUGAACGCAAACCCAAUGGACGACGACUACUUCUCUUCUCACGUGUCCUACGCGUUCAGAUUCGUGCGCGUUCGCUGGAUGAAGAUGUGGGCGCAGGAGAUCUCUCAGGCGGAGGUGGAGCUGAGGAUCUCCGAGUCUUUGUUCCUCCGCCAGUCGGAGGUCGCGCGGCAGCUUCUGGGAGAAAUUAGGAACACGCACGACAAGCACGUGCAGAGCCUGGUCGACUUUGUGGACGCGCAGACGUGUUACUACGCUCAGUGCAAGCAACAAGCUCUGGAGCUCCAGAAACAGCUGGCCGGCGUCCCGGCGGUGUUGUGCUCCAGCAAGUGGCAGUCGUCGCUCACCAACGGUGCGCCUUGUAAAAAGCAGGAACCAGCGGAGCAAAAUCGAGUCUCCGCCGCCGCCGUCGUCGUCCACCACCUUCCGGAAUUUGACCAAGACUCUUGGACGACGGCGGCGAGCGGUAACAACAACAACAACAAGGAGUCUGAUCGCGCCUGUCCGUCAGAACAAGGACAUCCUCCAUCUUGUGAGCCGACGUCUCCCAACUAGUUAGGACGCCGCCGUCUCACAGACCUCUUCCGGUCCAGUUGGGACGGAUAUGUGAAGACCAAAUGGAACAGUGGUAGAUAAACGACGGCAUGUCGGUUAUAUGCAGUGCGCCGCGUACUGCUCCUAGCUAGCAACCAGCGUGAUGCUUUAGAUCCUUGCGUUGUAUUGUCUACGUCAGGCCUAGUUUUCCUUCAGGGGCGACGUUCACCUCCAAUUGGAUCUCAAACGGGCCGGACCAGUACAUUCGAAGCAUUGUAAGCUAUAAAUAACGUCAAUUCCCAAUUUUGCCCAUUGUUUUGGUGCUAAUAAUUACAAGUACAUUUGGAAAAUAUUCACAUUUAUUGAUUAUCAGCAAAGUACGGAGCCCCUAAGGGUACAUGGGGGGGGGGGGGACUAACUUGUUUCUCAUUGUAAUGAGAAACUUUCUCAUUGUAAUGAGUAACUAGUCCAUUGCAUGUGCACAUGCCUAAAACACCCUAAUUCAUUUCAGUUUGCAUUUCUACGCAACAAUAACAAUGCAGGAGUUAGUUCGGUUCUAGUUUCAUCCGGGACUUUAUUAUAAAGACAUUGCUGCUUUGCUAGCAAGUCGUCACCGUUAUGUUGUGUCUGUGAGACAUUGAAAAAUAAUUUUAAAAGUCUUUAAUGUCAAUCAGUUUAGCUUAGCAAGCGGAAAGGAAGCGUAUACUGCUAUAUUUGUGCGAUAAAAGUUUACAGUUAUACUCACUCUUGAUUUGAUCGCUAACACUGUCGGGUAUAUUACUUGUUUUGAGGAAGGAGACCGAGUCCUCUUCCGUUGCCUUUCAGCUGACAUGCGCAAAGCAAGUUAUCGUUUACAGCUAGCUGAACGUGGGAAGCCAGGGAGCAGGAAGCUACCGCUAGCUAGCAGGUAAAUAAGCUACGCCCCAUAGGGUCGCAUUUCUCUGCACUUACUCAUUACAAUGAGAAACAAGUUACUUUAUUUUUCAAUGUCCCUUUAGGGCAGGGGUGUCAAACUAAUUUUUCUUGCGGGCCACAUUGUGGCUCCGGUUUCCCUCAGCGGGCCGUUGUGACUGUGAAACAAUACAAAUACUUAAUCGGCGCAUCGUAUUUACAUCAUCAAUUGAUGAUCUACUUUUGGAACCAGAAAUCAAGGGUAAUGAGUUUUUUCCAACUAUUCAUGUUUGCUAACACAAAAAUGCUUGUAAUAUCUCAACUUUAUCAUUUAUGAUGCAUGACAAUUUUUCUACACAUUUUUACAGGAAUAAUUGAAAUUGACACUAGAUUUGGCUUCACGGGCCACCGAAAAUCAUGUGGCGGGUCGGAUCUGGCCCCCGGGCCUUGAGUUUGACACCUGUGCUUUAGGGGCUCCGUAAAAAAUGUUACGAAUCAGUGUGUUGUUGUUGUUGUUGUUUUUUUUUUUUUUACAUUGUUGACCAAGUAACUCGUCACACCAUCGGAACUAAAGCGGGAACUUUUCAAAACGCGGCUGCGGUUCUCCCCCUGCCUGAUUUAAAAAAAAAAAAAAAAAAAAAAGAUACAAGUGCAUGAAAAAUAACAAAAAGGCUUGUUGACUGAUAUUUUGCCAAUAUUCAGUGUCUUAAAAGUACUGUUAGCCUAAUAGCAUAAUCGCCUCGGUCAUUUUUAACUCAUUGUAACGAGAGCAAUAUUUAGCUAUUAUGUCAUUAUACUCGUGAUAUUUCUACAGUAGCUAUUCAUUUCCGCAAAAUUGUAUUCUUCAGCGUGUAAAGUCGGGGCAGCGUUUUAUAUGAAGUCGGCUGACUUUUAGCCUUGGAGAGCGCGUAAACGUCAACGGGGCUGCGCCUCGGACGCCGCAUGCGGCGUGGGACUUGAACGCGGCGAAAUCGUAUCAGCGUUGCGUAAAAGCGGACACCCCCCCAACUGGUCCCGAUAGGUCAAAUGGGUUGCGGUUACCACAUCCAGAUGUUCAUUUUCCCCUCGUCGAGGCCAUGUCGUGUAUGUAAUGGGGGGGGGGGGCGUAUAUGGAAAUACAUACAUGAUGUAGUUGAUGACAUCAUGUAAAAGACUGAAGGUGUGUGUGCGCGGUGCCAGUAAGUGGUACAAUGCAGCUGGCAUGUGUUUAAUGUGGAAAGAAAUGUGCAAACAGUGAUGUGGAGCCCCCAAAAUAGAUUUUUUUUUUUGGGGGGGGGUCUCCAGCAGUUUCUGCAGGAUGUUGAAUUUCACAAUAUCACAUGCAAGGUCAUGUUGCAGUACAACACUGCGACCUCUGGUGUAUUAUUUCCUAACGCCAGCAGUUCUAGAAGUGCCGUUUAUUGUCCAUCCAUCCAUCCAUUUUCUUUGUUGCUUAUCCUCACGAGGGUUGCGGGGAGUGCCCGAGCCUAUCCCGGCUGUCAAGGGGCAGGAGGCGGGGUAGACCCCGAACUGGUUGCCAGCCAAUCGCAGGACACAUAGAGACGUACUCAUAAUCACACCUACGGGCAAUUUAGUGUGUCUAAUUAAGGUUGCAUGUUUUGGGGGUGUGGGAGUAAACCGGAGUACCCGUAGAAAACCCACACAGGCACGGGGAAGAACAUGCACACUCCACAGAGGCGAAUCCGGGAUCGAACCCGGGACCUGAGAACUGUGAGGCCAACGCUCUCCAGCUGCUCCACCGUGCUGCCCGGUUUAUCAGUUUACAGUAAAAAUUAUUUUUUUAAAUAUUUUUUUAUGUAAUGGGCUAUUUGACAACAGAAAUGGCAGCAAACAGCACCGCCGCUAGUCUGACAUGCUAGCUAGCUAGCUAGCUAACAAGCUGUCAGCGUCAACGUUAGCAAUGAUUAAUUGUGUGGAAUUUUCUGGCAGGCUGGUUGUCUUGAAGUUAUGGAAUUUAAAAAAAAAAAAAAGUGUCAUAUUUGUUUUACACCUGCAGCCGCGCUGCCGAGUCACACUCGGAGAGUCUGCGGUCUGACGGAGCGGAAAAUUGUGACGUCGGCUACAGAAAAUUUCCCGCAAUUAAAGAAAUAUAAUCCAAUGCGCAACAUUUUACACUAAGUACCAGAUAAAAAUAUACGACGCUCCCCAAAGAUCACAAUAACGGCCAACGUUGAAAUACAAUAGCAUAGUAGGAGCAAGUGUUCAUCGGAAGGGUGGUUUUAUUCUUAAUGCAUAUUCUUAUUGGACAUCACUGGAACAUUACUUUGAAUGUGGGGGCGGGGGGGCGCGACUUAGAAAUGAAAAAGGUACUUAAAAGUUUUAUUUAAAAAAAAAACUUAUUAAAGAUUAAAUGGAUGGCACUGCAAAUUCAAGUCACAUUUAUUUGUUUAGUCAUUUUUUUUUUAAAGUGGAGAUGAAUUGAAGUGGAUCAUACGCUUGAUAUUAAAAGCACGACCGUUGCUUUAAAUUUCCUGACUCGCCCCCCCCCCCCCCCCCAAAAAAAAGUCCAAUCAUCUCAAAUUGAAUUCUCCUUGGUGGCCUGCUACUUUAAAAAAAAAAAAAAAUAAUAAUGCAACUCUUUCCGUGUUCCAUCAGCGACAGGAACGAAGAAUAAAACAUCUCGUGAUGAGCGAAAAACAGAAAAAUGACAUCUCGCAUGAUUAACGACUUCCCACCGGGGCGCAGCCGGCCGGCAAAACGAGGAAAAUGCUGCAUUCUCGUCAAUUUCGCGGGGGGACGGGAAUGCAAAUCGUUAAAAAACAACAAACCAAAAAAAAAAAAAAAAAUGGCGUGUCACAAGCAAUGUGUGCAACGUCAUUCCCAAAGCGCAUGUGAGUGUCAUUUUAAUCCAAGCUGCUUAUCCCCACAAGGGUUGCGGGAAAGCUGGAGCCUCCAAAGGUGGGCGUGUGUCUGCCGCUGCACCGUCAGUGGCUCCAUGUGAGUGUUAUUUCUCAUCUUUCAUGAAAUAUUGAUCGAUUGGCCCGGUGUUUGUAGUUAAACCGCGGGGGGGGGGGGGGGCUCAAACUGGCGGCUCGCGGGCCAUUUGCAGACCCCCCCCCCCGAGGUGAUAUUUUGUGGCCCCCACCUGACUAUGAAAUGGUAAUCCGGCCCCGAAGUUUUACACGAGCGGGGGGUUGUGGCUCUCGGGGGGCGUGACGGUGAAAGUAAUUGGAAAAAAGGUGAAAGUAAAAACAGGGAGGUAAUCUAAUUGCAGAAGUCUGCACACCCUCUUGCCACUAUUCCAAAGCAGUGACCACUUAAAAGGCUUCUGAAAGUUUGCAUGUUCUCCCCGUCCGUGGCGGCGUGGGUUUCCUCCGGGUGGACACUCCGGUUUCCUCCAACGUCCCAAAAGCCUGUGCUCCCCGUGACUCUCGUGAGGAUAAGCAGUGAAGAAAGAAAGAAGGAGCUUUGAGGCCCAAUGACCAAAAUGGAGUUAGCCCACUCUGGGUCUCAGUAUCAUCUGUUGACAUUUCGGCUUGCUCCAUUCUUUGUGUUAUUUGACGCUCCUCUGGUGGCGGUUGUUUGUUUUUCUUUUCGGGGGUGGACCCCCCCCCCCGAAGUUACGACACGAAGUCGUCACAAAGCGGACUCGAGGGAGGUUUAUGCGAGGGAACGGGUCGGCCUCCCGCUGUUCUCGGCACCUCGCUUUUGUUUGGUGGGUCCGUUUAAUGUUGCGGGCGCUCCCCAAAGUGCUCCCGGGUCGCUUUUUCAGGGGGGUCCGGAGUCAAACCGCUGAUUCUUUCGUUCUUUUCUUGGCACGCAAUCCACGUUUGCACUCGUGUUGGAUGAUCUUGGCAAAGUAGAAGCGCUCACUCACCAACGCGGAUUUGGAACAAUGUUGGAGAAGUGACGCUUACUCGAGUUGUUUUGUGCACAGAGGGAAAAGCUCUGACUUCUUCGAGGUCGCUGGUUAGAGCGUUAAACUCGCAGUUCCGAGGACCGGGGUUCGAGUCCCGACCCCGCCUGCGUGGAGUUUGCAUGUUCUCCCCAUACCUGCGUGGCUUUUCUCCGGACGCUCCGGUUUCCUCCCACAACCCAAAAACCUGCAACGUUAAUUGGACACUAAAUUGCCCGUAGGUGUGAUUGGGAGUGCGGCUGUUUGUCUCUCUGUGCCCUGCGAUUGGCUGGCGACCAGUUCAAGGUGUGCCCCGCCCGCUGCCCGUCGAAAGCUGGGAUAGGCUUCAGCGCUCCUGGGACCCUUUUGAGGAUAAGCGGUGAGGAAAAUGGAUGGAUUGAUGGACAUUCAAUUUCUGCGAUACUUUUAAUUUUUCACACAGUUAUUUUUUCAGAUUGAAAAAACAAUAUUUUUUCUAUUUAAUGACUGAAAUUAUUAGCAUUUUUUGUGUCAAAUUUGACAUCUUAUUUUUUUUAUUUGAUCCCCAAAACACAGCAGUGAUUUGUUUGUUUGUGUAAAUUACAGAAUAUGUAGAUAUUUAUAUUGAACAUUUGUUCAUAAACACAUUAAAUUCUUUUGUUUUUCACCAAGACAGUCAUUUAUGAUGUUUUUCCAGAUUUUUGUCCCCCAGGACAAUUAACAGCUAUAUAUAAAUAUCUAGAUAAUUAUAUUUUUUUUUUUUUUUUUUAUUUUUA